UAUCGACCAUCAUCUGCUGACAGACGUACCCCAGUCCCUGCUCCACAUAGAGGUGGCAGUCCUAAGAAUGACAAAGGUCGAGGGGGUGGAGGCGGAGGAGGCGGGGGUGUCAUGGUGGCCAGGAACAGAGAAGAACAGGAAUACCUAGAAAAAUUGCGCCAAAUUCGCAUACAAAACAUGAGGGACAGGCGAGCCAUUCGGGGUGUCAAUGUUGCUGAGGGUGCAUCUAAGAACUCAGAGGAGGCAGAGGAAAGAAAGAAAAAAGUUGAAGCUCUGAAA